UAGGUAGGCUCACCUAGGCGACGAUCCCUAGCUGGUCUGAGAGGAUGACCAGCCACACUGGAACUGAGACACGGUCCAGACUCCUACGGGAGGCAGCAUG
rnacentral:rRNA from 1 species